ACUCCUACGGGAGGCAGCAGUAGGGAAUAUUCCGCAAUGGGGGCAACCCUGACGGAGCGACGCCGCGUGCAGGAGGAAGGCCUUCGGGUUGUAAACUGCUUUUACGAGUGACGAUUUUGACGGUAGCUCGUAAAUAAGGGUCUGCUAACUACGUGCCAGCAGCCGCGGUAAU
rnacentral:rRNA from 1 species